UAUAACAUGUUAUAUUAUAUUUAUAAAUCAGAAAAUAAAAGCUUUGGUAUUGAUCAAAUCAAUAUCCUAGAUCUAAAAUAGUUUUAGAUCUAAAACCUAGAUCACAUCUAGAUAAGAGAAGAGAUCAGAUCUCUUACCUUCAUGCGGAUCGAGAACUCUGUGGUUGAUUUUCUUUGUUAUCUUUAUAGCCGCACACGCGUCUGGCCUCUACAGGUGAUCCACACGAGGCUGCAACAA
rnacentral:lncRNA from 1 species